UACGUAGGUCCCGAGCGUUGUCCGGAUUUAUUGGGCGUAAAGCGAGCGCAGGUGGUUUAUUAAGUCUGGUGUAAAAGGCAGUGGCUCACCAUUGUAUGCAUUGGAAACUGGUAGACUUGAGUGCAGGAGAGGAGAGUGGAAUUCCAUGUGUAGCGGUGAAAUGCGUAGAUAUAUGGAGGAACACCGGUGGCGAAAGCGGCUCUCUGGCCUGUAACUGACACUGAGGCUCGAAAGCGUGGGGAGCAAACAGG
rnacentral:rRNA from 1 species